rnacentral:rRNA from 1 species
GAUGAACGCUGGCGGCGUGCCUAAUACAUGCAAGUCGAGCGAACAGAUGAGGAGCUUGCUCCUCUGACGUUAGCGGCGGACGGGUGAGUAACACGUGGAUACCUACCUAUAAGACUGGGAUAACUUCGGGAAACCGGAGCUAAUUCCGGAUAAUAUAUUGAACCGCCUGGUUCAAUAGUGAAAGACGGUUUUGCUGUCACUUAUAGAUGGAUCCGCGCCGCAUUAGCUAGUUGGUAAGGUAACGGCUUACCAAGGCAACGAUGCGUAGCCGACCUGAGAGGGUGAUCGGCCACACUGGAACUGAGACACGGUCCAGACUCCUACGGGAGGCAGCAGUAGGGAAUCUUCCGCAAUGGGCGAAAGCCUGACGGAGCAACGCCGCGUGAGUGAUGAAGGUCUUCGGAUCGUAAAACUCUGUUAUUAGGGAAGAACAAAUGUGUAAGUAACUAUGCACGUCUUGACGGUACCUAAUCAGAAAGCCACGGCUAACUACGUG